rnacentral:rRNA from 1 species
UACGAAGGGGGCUAGCGUUGUUCGGAAUUACUGGGCGUAAAGGGCGCGUAGGCGGCUCUGAUCGUCGGAUGUGAAAGGCCUGGGCUCAACCUGGGAAUGGCAUCCGAUACGGCGGGGCUGGAGUGUGGGAGAGGUUGGUGGAAUUCCCAGUGUAGAGGUGAAAUUCGUAGAUAUUGGGAAGAACACCGGUGGCGAAGGCGGCCAACUGGACCACAACUGACGCUGAGGUGCGAAAGCGUGGGGAGCAAACAGG